rnacentral:rRNA from 1 species
UACGAAGGGGGCUAGCGUUGCUCGGAAUCACUGGGCGGAAAGCGCACGUAGGCGGAUCUUUAAGUCGGGGGGGAAAUCCCGGGGCUCAACCCCGGAACUGCCUUCGAUACUGAGGAUCUUGAGUCCGGGAGAGGUGAGUGGAACUGCGAGUGUAGAGGUGAAAUUCGUAGAUAUUCGCAAGAACACCAGUGGCGAAGGCGGCGCACUGGCCCGGUACUGACGCUGAGGUGCGAAAGCGUGGGGAGCAAACAGG